rnacentral:rRNA from 1 species
UACAGAGGUGGCAAGCGUUGUUCGGAAUCACUGGGCGUAAAGGGAGCGUAGGCGGGUUCUUAAGUUAGGUGUUUAAUCCCGGGGCCCAACCCCGGACCGGCACUUAAAACUGGGAAUCUUGAAUAGUGGAGAGGUCGGUGGAAUUGGAGGUGUAGCGGUGAAAUGCGUAGAUAUCGUAAGGAAGACCAGUGGCGAAGGCGGGUCUCUGGACAGUUCCUGACGCUGAGGCACGAAAGGUCAGGGGGAGCAAAACGGGG